UACGUAGGGUGCGAGCGUUGUCCGGAAUUAUUGGGCGUAAAGGGCUCGUAGGCGGUUUGUCGCGUCGGGAGUGAAAACACUGGGCUUAACUCAGUGCUUGCUUCCGAUACGGGCAGACUAGAGGUAUGCAGGGGAGAACGGAAUUCCUGGUGUAGCGGUGAAAUGCGCAGAUAUCUGGAGGAACACCGGUGGCGAAGGCGGCAUCCUGGACCGACACUGACGCUGAGGAGCGAAAGCCAGGGGAGCAAACGGG
rnacentral:rRNA from 1 species